rnacentral:rRNA from 1 species
CACGUAGUUAGCCGGGGCUUCUUAGUCAGGUACUGUCACUUUCUUCCCUGCUGAUAGAGCUUUACAUACCGAGAUACUUCAUCGCUCACGCGGCGUCGCUGCAUCAGGGUUUCCCCCAUUGUGCAAUAUUCCCCACUGCUGCCUCCCGCAGGAGUCUGGGCCUGUCUCAGUCCCAAUGUGGCCGGCCGCCCUCUCAGGCCCGGCUACUGAUCGUCGCCUUGGUCGGGCCGUUACCCCGCCAACGAGCUAAUCAGACGCGGGCCCAUCCCAUACCACCGGAGUUUUCCCCAGGAAGCUAUGCAGCCUCCUGGGCGUAUGCGGUAUUAGCAGCCGUUCGGCUGUAUCCCCGGUAUGGGCAGGUUGCCCACGCGUUACUCCACCCGUCCGCCACUCAGACACGUUACCGUUCCCUACCCCGAACGGGAACUCCCUGUAACCCGUCUUCGUUUCCGAC